rnacentral:rRNA from 1 species
UACAGAGGUCUCAAGCGUUGUUCGGAUUCAUUGGGCGUAAAGGGUGUGUAGGUGGCGCGCUAAGUCGGGUGUGAAAUUUCGGAGCUUAACUCCGAAACUGCAUUCGAUACUGGCGUGCUUGAGGACUGGAGAGGAGACUGGAAUUCAUGGUGUAGCAGUGAAAUGCGUAGAGAUCAUGAGGAAGACCAGUGGCGAAGGCGGGUCUCUGGACAGUUC